UGUGAAAUCUAAUGGCUUAACCAUUAAACUGCUUGGGAAACUGAUAGUCUAGAGUGAGGGAGAGGCAGAUGGAAUUGGUGGUGUAGGGGUAAAAUCCGUAGAUAUCACCAAGAAUACCCAUUGCGAAGGCGAUCUGCUGGAACUCAACUGACGCUAAGGCGCGAAAGCGUGGGGAGCAAACAGGAUUAGAUACCCUGGUAGUCCACGCCCUAAACGAUGUACACUAGUUGUUGGGGUGCUAGUCAUCUCAGUAAUGCAGCUAACGCAUUAAGUGUACCGCCUGGGGAGUACGGUCGCAAGAUUAAAACUCAAAGGAAUAGACGGGGACCCGCACAAGCGGUGGAGCAUGUGGUUUAAUUCGAAGAUACGCGAAGAACCUUACCUGGGCUUGAUAUCCUAAGAACCUUUUAGAGAUAAGAGGGUGCUAGCUUGCUAGAACUUAGAGACAGGUGCUGCACGGCUGUCGUCAGCUCGUGUCGUGAGAUGUUGGGUUAAGUCCCGCAACGAGCGCAACCCACGUAUUUAGUUGCUAACGGUUCGGCCGAGCACUCUAAAUAGACUGCCUUCGUAAGGAGGAGGAAGGUGUGGACGACGUCAAGUCAUCAUGGCCCUUAUGCCCAGGGCGACACACGUGCUACAAUGGCAUAUACAAUGAGACGCAAUACCGCGAGGUGGAGCAAAUCUAUAAAAUAUGUCCCAGUUCGGAUUGUUCUCUGCAACUCGAGAGCAUGAAGCCGGAAUCGCUAGUAAUCGUAGAUCAGCCAUGCUACGGUGAAUACGUUCCCGGGUCUUGUACUCACCGCCCGUCACACCAUGGGAGUUGAUUUCACUCGAAGCCGGAAUACUAAACUAGUUACCGUCCACAGUGGAAUCAGCGACUGGGGUGAAGUCGUAACAAGGUAACCGUAGGAGAACCUGCGGUUGGAUCACCUCCUUUCUA
rnacentral:rRNA from 1 species